ACAUUGCUCUAAUAAUUUAAAAAGCCGAACUGAAAACGUUGAAUAACUUCUGCUGUACUUAAAUUCUUUGCUAUUUUGAAGUAAGUUUGUACAAAGAAAAAUCCUAGCAAUUACAGUAAAAUUACAACAUUAAUUCUAUUUUUAAUAAAUGAAUGAAUAGCAAUUGUGGUUGGGUUUCAGUGCUACACUCUCCUAAUGGACUUAUGGAGACACAAAAAGGAAUCUGAGAGUGAUUGUGUCUCUUUUAAUGAGUGAUGAAUGACCAUCUUUUUACUUCUACUCAUUCCAAUGUGCUUAGGGGCCUCCUGGACCACCAGGCCCUCCAGGUCCCCCAGGGGCCCAAGGGUUUACAGGAAUCCAAGGCCCACAGGGUAUCCCUGGCAACGAUGGCGUACCAGGGAAACCGGGUCCACCCGGCCAAGCAGUGAGUAACCAGACAGGGGGAGGAGCUUUAUUACAGUAUAUAAACACAGAGCAAGGAGCCUGGUUGGUCGACUUCUGCGUUAGAAGUGGAGCGGGUUAGGCCUCCUUUAAACCAGUGCAGCACUCACUAGAGGUGAUUCAUGAGGACAACAGCAGCUUUUUUCUAAUAGGAAAAGGAACCAGUAAGCAUUUGAAAGGAUCUUAACUCGGCACUCCAUGAGGCAUUUCUGCUGCAGUGUGUCCUUUAUGGCCAUCAAAGGUCCCAUUACCCUUCCAGAGUUAACUCACAGACUCCGAGGCUUUGUGUAAUGGUAAACACUGCCAUUGUGUUGAGUUACGGUCAG
rnacentral:lncRNA from 1 species